CGGUAAUACGUAGGGCGCGAGCGUUGUCCGGAAUUAUUGGGCGUAAAGAGCUUGUAGGCGGUUGGUCGCGUCUGCUGUGAAAGGCUGGGGCUUAACCCUGGUUUUGCAGUGGGUACGGGCUAACUAGAGUGCAGUAGGGGAGACUGGAAUUCCUGGUGUAGCGGUGGAAUGCGCAGAUAUCAGGAGGAACACCGAUGGCGAAGGCAGGUCUCUGGGCUGUAACUGACGCUGAGAAGCGAAAGCAUGGGGAGCGAACAGGAUUAGAUACCCUGGUAGUCCAUGCCGUAAACGUUGGGCACUAGGUGUGGGGGACAUUCCACGUUUUCCGCGCCGUAGCUAACGCAUUAAGUGCCCCGCCUGGGGAGUACGGCCGCAAGGUUAAAACUCAAAUGAAUUGACGGGGGCCCGCACAAGCGGUGGAGCAUGUGGUUUAAUUCGAUGCAACGCGAAGAACCUUACCUACUCUUGACAUCCAGAGAAUUCGCUAGAGAUAG
rnacentral:rRNA from 1 species